CCUCCUCCUCCUAUGCUAUAUAUACAGCCGGCGUCCGGCGCGGCGAGUGCAUCCAUCGCGUGCGUGCGUGCGCUAUACAGACUCGCCUGCUCUCCUUUCUCCCCUAGCUCAUCCGGCCUGCGAGAUCACCCCCACAAAGCCAUAACCCUCGCUGGAUCCUCGAAACCGCAAGAAGCAGUGGUUUGAGCUUUGAAGCAGAUCGUCAGCCGGAGCGGUUCGAUCUCGCUGUCUCCGAGGACAUUCAUCAUAACUCGGUUGAUUGAUCCGCACAUCUACCCGAUCGAAGGCCCAGCCCAGAUCAUCACGCACGUAAGUACCCAAAAUUCCUCGCUCACUGUUCUAAGCGCAAUGGCUUCGAGACUAGCUAGCUGCUUCCCCUGCGUUAGCGCGAGGAAGAAGGAAGUCCCCUAUCUCCUCCGGCUGAUCCGCGCAGCAGCCACCCUGCCACGCCCAGGACAUUGGCCGUGCAACGAACUUUCUCCUUCGAGGAGCUCGUGGCGGCCACAUGUAAGUUCACUCACAACUUUCGCGUUGUUGGUUGCAAUUGGGAGGGUGUUUACUAAGGCUACCUCAAGAGCAUCAACCAGGUCACUUCUUUGUCAGUUAAUUCAUAUGUACGUACCAUGAUUACAUGAUCGAUCGAUGUGAGGAAAAGUUGAUGAUCAACAUCUGCAUAUAUAGGUCGUUGCUAUAAGGUUGCAGCUUGCUGUUUAUCCUCAUCAUCAUGCAUCGGCAGAUCAAGAGAACAUGGUGUUUCUUGCCCAUGGUGUCGGGAGCAAAACUAACAUAAACCAUGAAUGAUCUAAGUGAUGUGGUGUUUGCUGCGGAUAUCAGGCCGAGCCAUUGCUGGAAGAUAGGAGCCAGUUCUGCCGGAUGGCAGACCCAGCGCUGCAGGGCCGAUAUCCGUCCUUGGACUUGCAGAAGGCUGUGACAAUUGCUUCGUUCUGCAUCCAAGAAAAGUCGGACAUGAGAGCGCCCAUCAGCACCGUAGUCAAGGUUCUGUGUCGCCUCGCCCAUGAUGUUGAUCGACCUGAAUCAUCACACCACGCGGCUCCUAAUUAACAUAGGAGGGAAAUGAUGUCGUGUCAUCCAAAUGCAUUAGUAAUGACCAAGUUACUUUAAGUUACUUUUGCCCCCGAGACCAUGUACAAGAAACACCAUGUUCUCUUGAUCUGCCGAUGCAUGAUGACGAGGAUAAACAGCAGGCUGCAGCCUUAUAGCAAGGACCUACAUAUGCAGAUGUUGAUCAUCAACUUUCCCUCACAUCGAUCAAUCAUAUAAUCAUGGUAUGUACAUAUGAACUAACUGACAAAGAAGUGACCUGGUUGAUGCU